rnacentral:rRNA from 1 species
AACGAGCGCUGGCGGCGUGCUUAACACAUGCAAGUCGAGCGGUAAGGCCCUUUCGGGGGUACACGAGCGGCGAACGGGUGAGUAACACGUGGGUGACCUGCCCUUAGCUCUGGGAUAAGCCUGGGAAACUGGGUCUAAUACCGGAUACGACUCCGCGGUGCAUGCUGUGGGGUGGAAAGCCUUGUGCGGCUGGAGAUGGGCCCGCGGCCUAUCAGCUUGUUGGUGGGGUGAUGGCCACCAAGGCGACGACGGGUAGCCGGCCUGAGAGGGCGACCGGCCACACUGGGACUGAGACACGGCCCAGACUCCUACGGGAGGCAGCAGUGGGGAAUCUUGCGCAAUGGGCGAAAGCCUGACGCAGCGACGCCGCGUGAGGGAUGACGGCCU